rnacentral:lncRNA from 1 species
GCCGCAACAGAAAAUAUUGGUGGUUGAGAAGCAUGCGGAGUCCGUAGAACUGUAGGAUCCAUUGAAGGGAGAUAAGGAAAGCCCUAAAUAGAUACAUACAUCUGAUCUGCAACUACCUGCAUCUGGUAAGGAGGUGUUGGGGAAUACCCACCGACCGACCAACGGUCGGAGGGACCGACCGACUGACGGCUGGAGGGACCGACCAACCGACUGACGGACGUCAUCACCGGCCAAUUAGCGGCCCAUCACCGACUGGUGAUAUGUCGGGCGUACCUUUCCCGAUCAACUGAACCUGGAGGUCUGAUGGCCGACUCACGUAAGACUCGCCGACCAACGGAGGGCCCCGACGCCACUCAGCUGGCCACCGACCUAGGGUCGGUCGACUCCUCCGAUCGCCGUACAGCCGCC